CCCUGCUUUACCACACUAUCAGCCAAAGAAGCCUUGACAAAGUAAUGGAACGUAUUGUCUUACUUCAGAUAAGAAAACAGCAGGAUUUAUCGGCUCACUAUCAACCCUCUAGUGCGUGCAAGUCCACAUAUGUAUGUACAAAGAAAACACAAUGGAUUAGAAAGGGAUCGUAUUUACACACAGUCCUUUUGGUUUCACCCAAACUGUUUGUGCAAUGACACUCUACAAUGAAGAAAGACACCAUUGGGUGCAUAUAUUGGAAAGUAAGAAGCAAGAUAUGGAAGGUUCGACUGGAUAUCUGCAUACUUCAAGGGCAUUUGGAGGCAUGAGACUGCAGGGUUGUGAAAUGCAGCUCUGCUUAAGACAAGGCACAGCAACAUCUAAUGGAACACCAAUCAAUCAAGCAGCAGACAUCACAGUUGCUUCGCUACAGACUCUCUGUUGAGACUGCCAACUAGAAUGCCAAUUAUUGUGAAUUGUAAUGUGGACUCCUAUCCACAAAGGACCGGACUGUGACACCAACUCAGUUUCUACAGGCCUGCAAAUAGUUGUCAGAUGAUAACUACUUUCAUCAUCACUUUGGUUCUCUAUCCGAUUACCAAUCCCUUGGCCACCUGUGCUCUAACUAAUAUCUUAAUGAAAGGCAUUCUGUAACUGAAAAAAUAUAAGACA